rnacentral:rRNA from 1 species
UUUAAAUUUAGAGUUUGAUCCUGGCUCAGGACGAACGCUGGCGGCGUGCUUAACACAUGCAAGUCGAGCGAUGAAGCUUCCUUCGGGAAGUGGAUUAGCGGCGGACGGGUGAGUAACACGUGGGUAACCUGCCUCAAAGUGGGGGAUAGCCUUCCGAAAGGAAGAUUAAUACCGCAUAAUAUAAGAGAAUCGCAUGAUUUUUUUAUCAAAGAUUUAUUGCUUUGAGAUGGACCCGCGGCGCAUUAGCUAGUUGGUAAGGUAACGGCUUACCAAGGCAACGAUGCGUAGCCGACCUGAGAGGGUGAUCGGCCACAUUGGAACUGAGACACGGUCCAGACUCCUACGGGAGGCAGCAGUGGGGAAUAUUGCGCAAUGGGGGAAACCCUGACGCAGCAACGCCGCGUGGGUGAUGAAGGUCUUCGGAUUGUAAAGCCCUGUUUUCUAGGACGAUAAUGACGGUACUAGAGGAGGAAGCCACGGCUAACUACGUGCCAGCAGCCGCGGUAAUACGUAGGUGGCGAGCGUUGUCCGGAUUUACUGGGCGUAAAGGGUGCGUAGGCGGAUGUUUAAGUGGGAUGUGAAAUCCCCGGGCUUAACCUGGGGGCUGCAUUCCAAACUGGAUAUCUAGAGUGCAGGAGAGGAAAGCGGAAUUCCUAGUGUAGCGGUGAAAUGCGUAGAGAUUAGGAAGAACACCAGUGGCGAAGGCGGCUUUCUGGACUGUAACUGACGCUGAGGCACGAAAGCGUGGGUAGCAAACAGGAUUAGAUACCCUGGUAGUCCACGCCGUAAACGAUGGAUACUAGGUGUAGGGGGUAUCAACUCCCCCUGUGCCGCAGUUAACACAAUAAGUAUCCCGCCUGGGGAGUACGGUCGCAAGAUUAAAACUCAAAGGAAUUGACGGGGGCCCGCACAAGCAGCGGAGCAUGUGGUUUAAUUCGAAGCAACGCGAAGAACCUUACCUGGACUUGACAUCCCUUGCAUAGCCUAGAGAUAGGUGAAGCCCUUCGGGGCAAGGAGACAGGUGGUGCAUGGUUGUCGUCAGCUCGUGUCGUGAGAUGUUAGGUUAAGUCCUGCAACGAGCGCAACCCUUGUUAUUAGUUGCUACCAUUAAGUUGAGCACUCUAAUGAGACUGCCUGGGUAACCAGGAGGAAGGUGGGGAUGACGUCAAAUCAUCAUGCCCCUUAUGUCCAGGGCUACACACGUGCUACAAUGGUAGGUACAAUAAGACGCAAGACCGUGAGGUGGAGCAAAACUUAUAAAACCUAUCUCAGUUCGGAUUGUAGGCUGCAACUCGCCUACAUGAAGCUGGAGUUGCUAGUAAUCGCGAAUCAGAAUGUCGCGGUGAAUACGUUCCCGGGCCUUGUACACACCGCCCGUCACACCAUGAGAGCUGGUAACACCCGAAGUCCGUGAGGUAACCGUAAGGAACCAGCGGCCGAAGGUGGGAUUAGUGAUUGGGGUGAAGUCGUAACAAGGUAGCCGUAGGAGAACCUGCGGCUGGAUCACCUCCUUUCUA